rnacentral:tRNA from 1 species
AUAAGAAGCAAUUUUGCAUUUAGUUUCGACCUAAAAGAAAGAGUAAAUUACUCCUUAUUUA